CGACCCUUCUUUGGAUGGGAUUGGGUGAGGAUUAAAUCUAGUAGAAGUUUGAAUUCAAAAUGAUUUUGAAUUCGAACUCAGAUUAAUCCUUAUCCAACCUCUUAUCCUCUUGAUUCGACAACAUUAAAAAGCUUGUUUUUUUGUAUGCUGAAGAGGUUUGGUUUUUCAUCGAGAGAAGGCUGUGAGAAGGGUGACUGAACAAGGGUCUAGGGGCGUGAGGCUUGGGGUGGGUUGCCAUCUCUUUGGCAUGUGCUUUAGAGGAGA
rnacentral:lncRNA from 1 species